GGAGGGCGGGCGUCCCUGCCCGGAGGCUGCACCGCCAGCUGCGGGGCGGAGCCCGCUGCCCGGUGGCUCUGAGGUCAUUGCCACCUUCUGACUCAGCUCUGAGAAAUGAGUCCCUCGUUUUUAAUGUUGCUGGGAACUCUCUUCCCUGGGGAUUCAUCGCAGAGCCCAGACGCGAACACUCGCAAGUGCGGCAGGCCUUACCAUGGCAGGGAUGCUGAUACCAAAUGGCCCAAGAGUGCCCGGUUCCUGGGCUCGUCAGACCCCAAUUCUAGAACAUGGAUUUAUCAAGUGUCUGCAGCGGGAUUAUGACGUUCAACAGAUGGUUUCUCCUCUCCAGUGCUGGACCCCCAGAUACUAUGUGUAACGUCUCAAAUAAUGGAUUCUGGUUGCUUACAAAUAGCUAACUAUCGUGGGUCCUUGGAAGUUAACAUCCAUGUCAUAAUUUCUUCCCUAAUCCGUAUCCAGUCACCAAUGGCAUCUAAUAUUUGUUGUCUCUUCCCCUUCUUCCUCUGGAAAACUGGCCUAUGUGAACCUGCCUUGGCUUGCAAGGCAGUGAGAUGACAGAAGUACCCAGUGAUGAGUUUUACAACUGCAAUGACACAAGUUACCCAGAGCUAAACAGCUGGUUUUUAAAGAGCCCUUCUGAGUUUGAUGUCGGGGACCCACUGCCAGGGAAGCAUCUGAGGAGUUAAGUCCACCUUGUGCGGUCCUUGCCCAGUCCCAGACUGUCCUCUGGCAUAGAACACCUGCACACAGCAAAGGAGUUUGGAGUUGCCUAUCUGGGCACGAGGGGAAGACAGACCCAGCUGCCACAGGUGAUCCAAAAGCCCUCUGUUCUCCACGACUGACUUCAUGACUUCACUUCCGCCCGCCUUUGGAUGAGCUCACCUGUUUUGUUUGGCCAGGAUUUUAUCUGCGUGGGAGCUCUGCUCAGCAGGUCAGCCAGCCCCAGCCUCGGCGGUUAAACAGCGGGCCACACCAAGGGCGGUAAACGCUGUCUUGGAGCAUCCUUCUCCCAGGGAGAUGUAUCAUGUUCACUGAGCUGCACAGGCUUCUCUCUGACCUACUCCACCACACCUCCACUGCAGUUCGAGACUCUGAGCUCCUGGUGUCUGCCCGGCCUCCAGCCCGUCCUCACUCCAGCUGCACUGCCUGCCAGCCCUGGGUCUUUGUCACCGCCCACUUCACACUCGCCCGCAACCUGGCAUCCACACAGCUGUCUCCAGCGUGCUCACCCCCUUUAUAAUGUAAACACUGAAGUGGUUCUAUUCACGUAAGCCGAAGUGUCCACUGAUAAUUUUGACAAUAUAAAUUUGUACUCAUCGUUAUGAACUGUCAUUAAUAACAUGCACUUUCCUGAAACAUUCAGGAAUUUGGCAGCAGAUGAGAUAUCAGAACUUGCCACUUCUGCAGUUGUUCAGAGCUAUGCAAAUCAUCCUGAACUAGUUAUUAUUGCCCCAAAAAGUGAUUUUUUCUAUUGUUUAAAAUAUUUUAAUGAAAAAUAAUCUAUGAUGAACAACUGCAUUCAAGAUAAAGGGUUGAAAAUACACCGAGUAGAUAUCUCAAUGCAAAGAAACAAACAUCAGAUGGAAGGUACUGAAGUAGCAGAAGGUGAUUAAAUUAUUUGUAUAAGCAAAAAUACUCUGCUUUUACAGAAAAAAGGUAUAUCAGAACAUGUCUCACUUAAAUGAAAAGUCAUUUUAAAAGAGUAACAUAUAGGGUAAAUUGGACAGCCAUGUGCAAAAGAAUGAAACGAGACUGCUAUUUGAUUCCACACACAAAAAUUAACCCCAAAUAGAUGAAAAGACAAAUAUAAGACCUGAAACAAUAAACUAAUAGAAGGAAACAGGUAGUAAAUUUACGGACCUUGGUCUCAGAGAGGGUUUUAUGAACUUGACCCCAAAAGGGAACUAAAAAAAUAAGUGAAUGGGACUAUAUAAAACUAAAAAGUUUCUGCAGAGCAAAAGAGACCAUCAAUAAAACAAAAAGGCAACUAACCUAGUGGGAGAUGAUAUUUGCAAAUAAUACCUU